GUCGAACGGUAGAGGGGGCAACCCCUCGAGAGUGGCGAACGGGUGAGUAAUAUAUCGGAACGUGCCCAGUCGUGGGGGAUAACGUAGCGAAAGUUACGCUAAUACCGCAUACGAUCUACGGAUGAAAGCGGGGGAUCGCAAGACCUCGCGCGAUUGGAGCGGCCGAUAUCAGAUUAGGUAGUUGGUGAGGUAAAGGCUCACCAAGCCAACGAUCUGUAGCUGGUCUGAGAGGACGACCAGCCACACUGGAACUGAGACACGGUCCAGACUCCUACGGGAGGCAGCAGUGGGGAAUUUUGGACAAUGGACGCAAGUCUGAUCCAGCCAUUCCGCGUGCAGGAUGAAGGCCCUCGGGUUGUAAACUGCUUUUGUACGGAACGAAAAGGUCUCUCUUAAUACGGGGGGCUCAUGACGGUACCGUAAGAAUAAGCACCGGCUAACUACGUGCCAGCAGCCGCGGUAAUACGUAGGGUGCAAGCGUUAAUCGGAAUUACUGGGCGUAAAGCGUGCGCAGGCGGUUAUAUAAGACAGAUGUGAAAUCCCCGGGCUCAACCUGGGAACUGCAUUUGUGACUGUAUAGCUAGAGUACGGUAGAGGGGGAUGGAAUUCCGCGUGUAGCAGUGAAAUGCGUAGAUAUGCGGAGGAACACCGAUGGCGAAGGCGAUCCCCUGGACCUGUACUGACGCUCAUGCACGAAAGCGUGGGGAGCAAACAGGAUUAGAUACCCUGGUAGUCCACGCCCUAAACGAU
rnacentral:rRNA from 1 species